AAGUCGUAACAAGGUUUCCGUAGGGCGGAAGGAUCAUUAACACGUAUCCAACGUUACCCCCCCGUGCACCUUCAACAUCUUGUGUCGGGAUUGAUGGUCGGGAAAAAGUAGGAGUUGGUUGUCGGGGAGAACCUCGCGAAUGGUUUGGCACGCGAGAGGGGACCAAUCCUGGUUGCGAUGUAAAACGUGGUCUCCACUUGAACUUGUUUAGUACCUUUGUCCUCUACCGCUUGUCGCCACGAUUUGGAUCUUGAUGCACCCGUUUUCGGAGAACCACCGCUGGAAUAUGUCUCCGAAAGUACCCGCUCGGGGGCUGAGACUUCCAGAGCUGGAAUACCCGAACAACUGUUAACAAUGGAUAUCUUGGCUCUC
rnacentral:misc_RNA from 1 species